rnacentral:rRNA from 1 species
AUUGAACGCUGGCGGCAGGCCUAACACAUGCAAGUCGAGCGAGCGGCGGACUGGUGAGUAAUGGUUGGUAACCUGCCUGAUGGAGGGGGAUACCUACUGGAUAAGGUAGCUAAUACCGCAUACCAUCAGAUGUGCCCAGAUGGGAUUCGUGAGUAGGUGGGGUAACUGCUCACCUUGGCGAUCAUCCCUAGCUGGUCUGAGAGGAUGACCAGCCACACUGGAACUGAGACAGGGACCAGGCUCCUGCGGAAGGCGGCAGUGGGGAAAAGUGCCCAAUAGGCGCAAGAUGGAAGCAGCCAUGCCGCGAGUGUGAAGAAGGCCUUAGGGUUGUAAAGCACUUUGAGCGGGGGGGAGUUACCCGCAGAAGAAGCAGCGGCUAACUACGUGCCAGCGGCCGCGGUAAUAC